CCUCCUGAUCAGGAGUCUGUUUACUACAGCACUGAGCCACCAAACACAGCCAGGUAAUCAGAUUACUGUCAGAGCUAAUGAACACAGCCAGGUAAUCAGAUUACUGUCAGAGCUAAUGAACACAGCCAGGUAAUCAGAUUACUGUCAGAGCUAAUGAACACAGCCAGGUAAUCAGAUUACUGUCAGAGCCACCGAACACAGCCAGGUAAUCAGAUUACUGUCAGAGCCACCAAACACAGCCAGGUAAUCAGAUUACUGUCAGAGCCACCGAACACAGCCAGGUAAUCAGAUUACUGUCAGAGCCACCGAACACAGCCAGGUAAUCAGAUUACUGUCAGAGCUAAUGAACACAGCCAGGUAAUCAGAUUACUGUCAGAGCUAAUGAACACAGCCAGGUAAUCAGAUUACUGUCAGAGCCAAUGAACACAGCCAGGUAAUCAGAUUACUGUCAGAGCCAAUGAACACAGCCAGGUAAUCAGAUUACUGUCAGAGCCAAUGAACACAGCCAGGUAAUCAGAUUACUGUCAGAGCUAAUGAACACAGCCAGGUAAUCAGAUUACUGUCAGAGCUAAUGAACACAGCCAGGUAAUCAGAUUACUGUCAGAGCCACCGAACACAGCCAGGUAAUCAGAUUACUGUCAGAGCUAAUGAACACAGCCAGGUAAUCAGAUUACUGUCAGAGCCACCAAACACAGCCAGGUAAUCAGAUUACUGUCAGAGCCACUGAACACAGCCAGGUAAUCAGAUUACUGUCAGAGCCACCAAACACAGCCAGGUAAUCAGAUUACUGUCAGAGCCACUGAACACAGCCAGGUAAUCAGAUUACUAUCAGAGCCACCGAACACAGCCAGGUAAUCAGAUUACUGUCAGAGCCACCAAACACAGCCAGGUAAUCAGAUUACUGUCAGAGCCACCAAACACAGCCAGGUAAUCAGAUUACUGUCAGAGCUAGCAAACAGCCAGGUAAUCAGAUUACUGUCAGAGCUACCGAACACAACCAGGUAAUCAGAUUACUGUCAGAGCUACAAACACAGCCAGGUAAUCAGAUUACUGUCAGAGCUACAAACACAGCCAGGUAAUCAGAUUACUGUCAGAGCUACCGAACACAGCCAGGUAAUCAGAUUACUGUCAGAGCUAAUGAACACAGCCAGGUAAUCAGAUUACUGUCAGAGCUAAUGAACACAGCCAGGUAAUCAGAUUACUGUCAGAGCUAAUGAACACAGCCAGGUAAUCAGAUUACUGUCAGAGCUAAUGAACACAGCCAGGUAAUCAGAUUACUGUCAGAGCCACCGAACACAGCCAGGUAAUCAGAUUACUGUCAGAGCUAAUGAACACAGCCAGGUAAUCAGAUUACUGUCAGAGCUAAUGAACACAGCCAGGUAAUCAGAUUACUGUCAGAGCCAAUGAACACAGCCAGGUAAUCAGAUUACUGUCAGAGCCAAUGAACACAGCCAGGUAAUCAGAUUACUGUCAGAGCCAAUGAACACAGCCAGGUAAUCAGAUUACUGUCAGAGCUAAUGAACACAGCCAGGUAAUCAGAUUACUGUCAGAGCCACCAAACACAGCCAGGUAAUCAGAUUACUGUCAGAGCCACCAAACACAGCCAGGUAAUCAGAUUACUGUCAGAGCCACUGAACACAGCCAGGUAAUCAGAUUACUAUCAGAGCCACCGAACACAGCCAGGUAAUCAGAUUACUGUCAGAGCCACCAAACACAGCCAGGUAAUCAGAUUACUGUCAGAGCCACCAAACACAGCCAGGUAAUCAGAUUACUGUCAGAGCUAGCAAACAGCCAGGUAAUCAGAUUACUGUCAGAGCCACCAAACACAGCCAGGUAAUCAGAUUACUGUCAGAGCCACCAAACACAGCCAGGUAAUCAGAUUACUGUCAGAGCUACCGAACACAGCCAGGUAAUCAGAUUACUGUCAGAGCUAAUGAACACAGCCAGGUAAUCAGAUUACUGUCAGAGCUAAUGAACACAGCCAGGUAAUCAGAUUACUGUCAGAGCCACUGAACACAGCCAGGUAAUCAGAUUACUGUCAGAGCCACCAAACACAGCCAGGUAAUCAGAUUACUGUCAGAGCCACCGAACACAGCCAGGUAAUCAGAUUACUGUCAGAGCCACCGAACACAGCCAGGUAAUCAGAUUACUGUCAGAGCCACCGAACACAGCCAGGUAAUCAGAUUACUGUCAGAGCCACCAAACACAGCCAGGUAAUCAGAUUACUGUCAGAGCCACCAAACACAGCCAGGUAAUCAGAUUACUGUCAGAGCUAGCAAACAGCCAGGUAAUCAGAUUACUGUCAGAGCUACCGAACACAACCAGGUAAUCAGAUUACUGUCAGAGCUACAAACACAGCCAGGUAAUCAGAUUACUGUCAGAGCUACAAACAC